AGAGAACAGAAGCGAUAGCAGGAUUGGGGGAAAGUUAGGAAAUAGGAAAAACCGCGGGGUUCCAAGGUCCAAGACUGAAGUGUGUGCUGGGUUUGAAAAGGGGACUAUGCCUUUUGUCACUCUUCUUCCUCCAAAUCCCCCGGGAGGAGAAACCGGCUGGGGGGGCGGGGGGCGGGGCUUACAUCAGAGAGACACAGCGAGAGUCCCGCUCUUGGCUUUAACGGCCACAGCCCAAGAAACCUACGAAUCCACAGCUGACGCCUUCCAGAAAAGGACCCACCCAGGCUCGCUAAGAAAAGGAAGCCCACGUGACCGCGGAGGGAGGGGGUGGGAAGUGAGGCGACCCCGGAGCGCGAGGGGCCAGGGGCGGGGCCGGAGACCAAGCGGUACAAGGAACCGCCCCGCGCAGACGGUCCGGGGCGAAGGGCUCGCUCUGGGCGAGGCGCUUGUCGGGCGCUGUGGAGGAGACAAGUCGUCGGAGCGCCCCGCGCACGGCCAUCAGAAAAGAGGGACCCGUUUCGCGCACUGGCACGGGGCGGGGCGCGCGCUAGCUUCUCGCGCUGGGAGCGGGGACCGGAGCUCGACGCCGCCCGGAUUGGCAGAUUGCUACUCUGGCUUUACUCUUGGGCGGUGCUGCCAUCAUUCUUAUUGCAUUCCUGGUGGGUUUGAUUUCUAUCUGCGUGGGAUCUCGAAGGCGCUUCUACAGACCUGUUGCUGUCAUGCUUUUUGCAGCAGUUGUUUUACAGGUUUGCAGCCUGGUCCUUUACCCAAUCAAGUUCAUUGAAACUGUGAGCUUGAAAAUUUACCAUGAGUUCAACUGGGGUUAUGGCCUGGCCUGGGGUGCAACUAUAUUUUCGUUUGGGGGUGCCAUCCUUUAUUGCCUGAACCCUAAGAACUACGAAGACUACUACUAGAACCAACAGUCUCAGAUUUUAAAAACAACCAACCAUCCAACAAAAGGAUUACGUCUGUAUCUUUUCUAACUCACUGUUUUCUAAAACACUUGUGGAGUAUCAAGCAGUUUGCUCAGUUGAUUUAAUAUCUUUUGCCUUUUGGCUGUCAAUAUCAUAACCAGCUUUUACAUCCAUUUUAGGGACCUGCACAAAUUAAGAGAGCUGAUUAGACAUAGGCAAAUGCUGCAAACUUCCAAUAUGUUCAUGUCAUUUUUCUUGACAAGUGAAAGGGUCUGUAUGACAGCAACCAUUGUGAGAAACUAGUUGGAAUGAGAAAUGCCUGAAUCUCCUAUUGCCUGCAGGGGAGCAGCUGGCAUAAGAAACAUUUAGAAGUUCCUUUGCUCUGACAAGGAUUCCACUGCUAUAGAGUCCUUAUCACCUGCUUAUCCCACUCAGUGACUAAUUGGCCAUUGGUUAUUUGCUUGAGUGAGCUUGUGAAAGGUGAACUGCCCUUCAGCACCUAAUGGGAGUUCUGAGUGUAAUGGGUUAAAGGUAUAUAUAUUCUACCUUCAAGAAUAGUCUUUUUGAAUGGGAGGCAAUGCUUUGGCAGUCAGCAUCUCCCUGGGAAAGGAGUCAAGACUUGGAGACAUGUGCUUUUCAUUAUGUGGUUAGAAAUUGUGCCUCAGCCAUAUCUAGAAUGAGGACAAUUGAGAGUCUCUACUUUCCCUGGGGCAACUAGAAAGAACUAUGCAUGAGUUGCUUUUGUCCUAAGUACCCUUUAAAUCAUUUACCAAACAUUACCGCAAAUAAUUGUGCGUAUGUAACAAGCUUAAAUAUUUUUAUAGAAGGUGAACCAUUAGUAUACAUGGUAGUAAACUAUUCCGUAGCCCUAUACAUGCAUUUGCCUAUUACACAUAAAAGUAACAUUUGCUCUAGUGAAGUGAUUUGAACACUAACCUUGUACACGUUAAGAGGCUUAGAUUGGUAUUCACACUUACUUACUGUACAAAAGUACAUAUAUUUUAAAGCUUUUGCUCUCUGUUCUCUACUGUUUCACUGGAAAGUUUUAAUAGAAUUGUAAAGAAGAAAAAUUGCAAUGGUGUUAACCUGAAAAUUCAUGAUUCUUCUGUAAGCACUAUAGUUCAAAGAAGAGUAGCAAUUAGAAUGAUCAGUUUGUUAAAAAUUCAGUAAAAUAGAAGGCUGCUUUUUUUCAAGUACCUUAAAUGUCUUUAUUAAAAAAAUAAAAGAAUAGUGAUAGAUUUAUAGAAAUGUCUU
rnacentral:lncRNA from 1 species